rnacentral:rRNA from 1 species
CACGUAGGGGGCAAGCGUUGUCCGGAUUUAUUGGGCGUAAAGAGCUCGUAGGCGGCUUAGUAAGUCGGGUGUGAAACCUCCAGGCUCAACCUGGAGACGCCACCCGAUACUGCUGUGGCUAGAGUCCGGUAGGGGAGCGUGGAAUUCCUGGUGUAGCGGUGAAAUGCGCAGAUAUCAGGAGGAACACCAAUGGCGAAGGCAGCUCACUGGGACGGUAUGACGCUGAGACGCGAAAGCGUGGGGAGCAAACAGG